CUGUCUCUCAAAAAUGAAUAAACGUUAAAAAUUUUUUUUAAAAACACCAUGUAAGCCUGAACACACAGAUACAUCUUAGUGUCAGGUCUGGGGACGCAUUUGAAUACAGACUAAUUUCUUAAGACUCGGGUCACUGGUGAAUGCUUUUCCAUCUGGAGGCCUUGGCUUCUAUGAGAUCGUAAAUACAUGGAGAGCAGACGCCGCAGAGUCUGGAACGGUCACCUUGGCACCGCUCGUGGUAGACAGGACCAGCCUCAUAAUCUGCAGAGGCCAGUGCAAAACAGAGAGCUCAAAAACCAUGAAGAGUUUCAGGACCAUGGCACCAGGGCGUUGAGCCAAGUACCCUUCCGAGCAAGGGGCCCCCACGGCCAGCCCUGUCUGUGGCUGAGACCUAGCAGGUGCUGAGAGUCUCAGGGUGCUGGCUGGAAGUACAGCAGAGAGGGGACGUAGGUGGGUGGCCCCCAGUGGCGGAGCCACGGCUGACUAAAUGGACUGACCACCCUGCACCGCACCCCCCUCCCCAACCUGCAUUCAGCCGAGGCCAGGCCGGGCUCCACUCUGCGUCCUGCGUGGUAAGGCUUCUGCAGUCUGUGUGCCCAGCACGGAGCUCUUCCGUCACCAUUUCACUUGAUUCUUGCCUACACGGUGGAUACUUCCACUCCAUCCGUGGAGGGGGAAACUGAGGCUCAGAACCGCUCCCUUGCCAGAGGACCCUGCCCAGGGCAUUCUCAUGCCCGCACCUGGGACCCCGCAGGUGGGGACUCUGUGCUCCCAGAGCCUCGCUAUCCUCCCCCUGUCUUGCGGGGCUCCUGAAGGCAGCUCAAGGCUCCACGCCCUUCUCCCUGAUCCCCGCUCCCAUCCUCCAAGUGACCUUCCAUAAACAGCCCAGACGGCCCAGUGCCAAAGCAGAAGCUCCAUUGGCAAACCCAAUUCUCCGGGCACCGCCCCGCCCUGCUAUCUCAAAGCUGCUCCAGGUCGAAAUGUCCCUGCUGGUGGUGGGCAAGGCAUGCGUCACUGCUCAGCCUCCGUUGCUGCAGUAAAGCCUGAGCCAGGAGGGCAGGAAGGGCAGGGAUCCUGCUGCUGGCUCUGUCUGGCCCCGGGGGCAAGGACAUGCUAAGCACUUGCCACCACGUACUCAGCACCCACUUCUCCUGGGCCAAGGAAUGAGGUAAGUGCCUUGUCACCCUGAGUCCUCAGAACUGCCUUCUGGGCUAGGUACCACGAUUCCCAGCUUACGGAUAAGGAAACUGAGGCCCAGGGAGGUCAGUUCCCUGGCCCGAGAGCCUGCAGCUCAUGGGUGGCCUGGUGGGAUUUUACCCUGGGCCGGUCUGCCUCCAAAUUUUAAGCCUUUAACCCCUUAACUGCAUGAACUCCUGGAACCCAGGCUGUGGGGGGGCUGCUUGCACGGAGAAGAAGUUCCAACAGCCACAGGUCACCAAAAACAAGAUUCUCCUUGAGGCGUAACCAACAUACUUGCCAGCCAAGCUCUGAACCCAGGCGGCAGCCCCCACGUGACCUGGGCCAGGAGACCCCCUCUGCAGCUGUGGCGACCCAGGUCCCAGGGAAGGACGCCCACCCACAGGGGUCCCCAAAAUGCCACCCGACCAGCUCCCGGCGCCCCCCACCGAUUAACCCCAUCAUCGGGCGUUGGUUAAAAUGAAGAUCCUAGCCUCCUCGCUAUCAGGAUUUGAAAGCAGUGGUGAGUAAAAGCGGUGUUUUUCGAGGGGGCUCCAACACGCGAACCGUGGCCUGAAGGGUCUGUGACCUCUCCCGGUGCCACAGCCAUACUCACGUCUGUGCUCCGUUGCCCGUAGUGGACAGACACGCUACAUGGCCGUAAAAGGUAAAUGAGAGUAAAGCUGUGUUUUCCGAUCCAAGUUCAAGGGGUCAGUGGACCCUGUUUACAGAGUACCAGGUCCAGCAAAUCUCAGUGAGGCACCGCACUUCUGCCCCUUCCUUCUGUCCCCAGACUAAACCUAGACCCCAUAUCCCAGCCUGAAUGUUGAAGAAGCCUGGGCGCCCUCCGAGCUUUCCCCUCGGCCACCCCCACGAGCAUCAUAGACAAGCUUUUGUUCAAGUCUGGGGUUGGUAGUCACCUCCUCCCUGAAGCCCCCCGCCCCCUCGGGCUGCAUCAGGUGCCUCCUCUGUCCCUCCCCAGGCCCCAUCUCCCCCCGCGUGUCACUUCCGAGUGGAGAGCUGGCCACGAUGGAGGAAAGCAGUCCAGUCUCUCUCCUCCCCACCACGCUCAGCACGGAGGACGUGCACCACACACGGAGGGAGGAGGCUGCCCGCCCUCCGCAGCCUCCAGAUGAGCAGACAGAGGCACAGAGAAGGGAAGUAACUGGCCCAAGAUCACACAGCUAGGAAGGGUGGAAGCCAGGACUUCAACAUAGACGCCAGACGGUGAGGUCCACGUGUUCGUCCCUUCCCGACAGACUGCGAGUGCAGGAUCUACGGACACAUUGCCGUGGACGCCAGCCUGGCACACAGAGGAUCCUUCAGUGGCAGAAGCUGUGGUGGAGAAGGAGAGAGGGGACAGCGUGGGGGCUCAGAGGCCUCAGCCCCCCUUACUGGGUAACUGUGGUAAGCUGAAUAGUGGGGUCCCCAGGCUGUCCACAUCUUGACCCCCACAAUCCAUGAACAUGCAGCCUUACACGGUGGAAGGUGCCCCUGCAGCUGAGAUGGGCUUAGGGCUCUUGAGAAGGGAUGGGUCGGGGGGGAGACUUAAACAAGACAAUAAAUGUGAAAAGGGUUGGGAAGUGUCCUAUAAAUGAGAAUUGGAUUUUUCGGUCCAUUUCAGUGUAUCCUUGACCUCUCUCUCUGGCUCUGGUAGCUUUGGGGUCAAAGGCUCCUUCUCCCCCUGCCUCCUUCCACCCCCUCUUCCAUGCUGGGGAAAUCUCCUGCUGUGUCUUCCACGGUCUCCCCCUGCAGACUCGGCUUCGAGAUGAACAGCAGGUGGUCGGCCAGGUGUCAGCGGGUUGGCCAGAGCCCAGGCUGGGAGGCCGUGGGCCAGAAUCAGACUGUCACACUCGGGAGGACGGCAGCUGGUGACGGCCACUUCCUUGUCCGCAGCUGGGCUGCCCCGCCUCCCUGACCAGGUGGAGGCCUCCGGAUAGCCUGUUAGCCACUGAGGGCACUGGGCAAGCUGCAAAGACUAAUCCUACCGAGGAGACCAAGCCGGCUCCCUCCAUGCUUGUCCUCCUCUACAGGAUCCUUGCCUCUACCAUGUUCGGUUUCAUGUCUGUUCAUUCCCCGACUACACACACCAGCACUGCUGCUGCCUAGCCAGCAGUCCCUCGGCCCUUCUUCCCUGCUCCCCAACCAUCCACCCAGUCCCCGGGGAUGCGCCUUGAUUGGUCCAAGCCAUCCUGGCAUCCUGUGCCCUCUUGCCAGUGAUUGGUCCAGAGGUGGGCGUGUGACCCAGGUUCGGCCAAUUAAACAUAAAGGGAAGUCUGCUAAGGGAUUCUGGGAAACAGUCUUCCUAUUAAGAGAGAGAUGGGCCAGGAAAAGAGUUUUAUAAUCUUCGUUCCCCUCCUGCUCUGGACAUGGCUGUCUGAGCUGGUGAUUCCUGGAGCCUCAGGGGCCGUCUCGCGACUCGGAAGUGACGAUGCUAAGGCUGACCUAUCAGCAUGUCUAGGGAGGAAAAGCCAAAGGAUCAAGGAGCCUUGCCAGAAGUCUGUUUGUAUCGCGAUGUGUAGCUACGGUCCCUUCCUUCUGACUGCCGUGU